GCCGCGACACGAUCGCCCCCUAAUCUUCCCUUCACCACCGGUAGGAUUCUCUAGUUCGACUGAGUAGGGCUGUAAAUUUGUAAACCCUCGAUUUAGGGUUUAUCUUGUUCAUUCUUCAAUCUCUUCAUCUAUCUUUCUCCGGUGAAAAUGGCGAACGAGCAACGGUCAUCUACAGGGCCCUGGAUCCUCGAAGCAAUGCCUUUCAUCGUUGUUCUUCUCAUAGCAGCUCAUGUCUUUGCUUUGGUAUAUUGGAUUUAUAAGUUGGCAGCCCAAAAACAACCUCCGAGGAGGAAGGCACACUGAGAUACUGUAUGAUUCGUUCCUGAAAGAAACUUUAGUGAAACCGAAUUCGUUAAUUAUAGCGUCUUUGAUGUUGAGGAGGCGGUCACAAAAGCCAUGUAACGAUGUUUCUCUCUCAGGCAAAUCCCAGGACUUGUAGCAUCAAUAGAUGCUUUCUUCAUGUUAGUCUUGUCUGGUUGGCGAUUGUCGAUUGCUAUUGACCCACUAUCGAUUUACAGGUAUAUUACUCUCGUAACUUUUUUUUGUUCUUCUUCAUUAGCCAUCUGAAUUCAAAGCACUUGAUAAGAUAUUCCUGUAGUAUAAGUAAGCCUGUGCUAUGUUCUUUUUCGUUUCUCCAGUGUUUUCCUUACUUGAUUCGAUCUUAGGAAUAUAGAUGUCGGACUCCAACAAUCUUACUCUCGAACAAAGUACCAUUGAGUCUCUCCUUAAAUAGUCAUCUAUCUGUCCAGCACUAGCGAGAAAACUUUUCUUUUUUUAGAGUAUAUUGCUAGUUCAAUAGAGCUCUACUACACGUCUUCACUAUGACUACAUCUUUGAGACUCACAGCUUAUUUGGUUAAGAUACCACUUGUUAGGAUGGAUGAAGCUCCACAAUGGUCCGACAUCAUCCACUUUGAGUAUAAGCUCACGGUUUUACUUUUGGUUUCCUUAAAAUGGAUCAUACCAAUAAAGAUCGUGUUUCUUACUUAAACCAAUGUGUGAAAGUUUUUUUUUGUUUUUGCCCAAGCUUGUACUUCCUUAUUGCAUGAAUUUUAAAGAUAGGUCGGUAUUAGUUUCUA